GAUGAACGCUGGCGGCGUGCCUAAUACAUGCAAGUCGAGCGAAUGGAUUAAGAGCUUGCUCUUAUGAAGUUAGCGGCGGACGGGUGAGUAACACGUGGGUAACCUGCCCAUAAGACUGGGAUAACUCCGGGAAACCGGGGCUAAUACCGGAUAACAUUUUGAACCGCAUGGUUCGAAAUUGAAAGGCGGCUUCGGCUGUCACUUAUGGAUGGACCCGCGUCGCAUUAGCUAGUUGGUGAGGUAACGGCUCACCAAGGCAACGAUGCGUAGCCGGCCUGAGAGGGUGACCGGCAAAACUGGGACUGAGACACGGCCCGGACUCCUACGGGAGGCAGCAGUAGGGAAUCUUCCGCAAUGGACGAAAGUCUGACGGAGCAACGCCGCGGGAGUGAUGAAGGCUUUCGGGUCGUAAAACUCUGUUGUUAGGGAAGAACAAGUGCUAGUUGAAUAAGCUGGCACCUUGACGGUACCUAACCAGAAAGCCACGGCUAACUACGUGCCAGCCGCCGCCGUAA
rnacentral:rRNA from 1 species